rnacentral:rRNA from 1 species
GAAUAGGGCGUUUAGUAUUUGGUCGUAGACCCGAAACCAGGUGAUCUACCCUUGGUCAGGUUGAAGUUCAGGUAACACUGAAUGGAGGACCGAACCGACUUACGUUGAAAAGUGAGCGGAUGAACUGAGGGUAGCGGAGAAAUUCCAAUCGAACCUGGAGAUAGCUGGUUCUCUCCGAAAUAGCUUUAGGGCUAGCCUCAAGUGAUGAUUAUUGGAGGUAGAGCACUGUUUGGACGAGGGGCCCCUCUCGGGUUACCGAAUUCAGACAAACUCCGAAUGCCAAUUAAUUUAACUUGGGAGUCAGAACAUGGGUGAUAAGGUCCGUGUUCGAAAGGGAAACAGCCCAGACCACCAGCUAAGGUCCCAAAAUAUAUGUUAAGUGGAAAAGGAUGUGGCGUUGCCCAGACAACUAGGAUGUUGGCUUAGAAGCAGCCAUCAUUUAAAGAGUGCGUAAUAGCUCACUAGUCGAGUGACACUGCGCCGAAAAUGUACCGGGGCUAAACAUAUUACCGAAGCUGUGGAUUGUCCUUUGGACAAUGGUAGGAGAGCGUUCUAAGGGCGUUGAAGCAUGAUCGUAAGGACAUGUGGAGCGCUUAGAAGUGAGAAUGCCGGUGUGAGUAGCGAAAGAUGGGUGAGAAUCCCGUCCACCGAUUGACUAAGGUUUCCAGAGGAAGGCUCGUCCGCUCUGGGUUAGUCGGGUCCUAAGCUGAGGCCGACAGGCGUAGGCGAUGGAUAACAGGUUGAUAUUCCUGUACCACCUAUAAUCGUUUUAAUCGAUGGGGGGACGCAGUAGGAUAGGCGAAGCGUGCGAUUGGAUUGCACGUCUAAGCAGUAAGGCUGAGUAUUAGGCAAAUCCGGUACUCGUUAAGGCUGA